rnacentral:rRNA from 1 species
CAGUCGCCGCGGGAAAACGUAGGGCGCAAGCGUUGUCCGGAAUUAUUGGGCGCAAAGAGCUCGUAGGCGGUCUGUCGCGUCUGGUGUGAAAUCCCGAGGCUCAACCUCGGGCUUGCAUCGGGUACGGGCAGACUAGAGUGCGGUAGGGGAGACUGGAAUUCCUGGUGUAGCGGUGGAAUGCGCAGAUAUCAGGAGGAACACCGAUGGCGAAGGCAGGUCUCUGGGCCGCAACUGACGCUGAGGAGCGAAAGCAUGGGGAGCGAACAGGAUUAGAUACCCCGGUAGUCCCUGUCUCUUAUAC